CUGAGAAACAAGGCAAGGACAGGCAACUACUCUCCCUAAGAUGGAGGCUGCAUGAUAGCUUUUAAAAAAUCCAUCUUGCAAUGAAUUACAGAAAAGCAAAUCCGAUGGAGAGGAUCUGGUGAGAGCAAACAGCCAUCCCUUCCCCGUUCAGAAGGGCCCCUCCCAGCCACAGAGAUGCUUCUGUGCCUGUCCCCUCUUCCAGGCUGCAGGUCCAGGGCAAAGCCCUGACAUGAUUCACCCUGACGAUUGGGUCUAAAUCCACCAAGACAGUCAAUUUUGGCAUUCGUUCUCCCUUAGGAAUUUUACUAGCCGUCUGAAAAAAGCACAUAAAUUAUCCCCCCUCUUUUUUCCAUGCCUUCUCCUUUAUCGCCCCCCCAUCACCCCUCCCCAGUCCAUCUUGAUGUCAUUUCAAAGAGAGGGAUGAAAAGAAGGGAAAGAAGGGAUUUGUCAGGCAGUCCAGUUUGUGAGUGUGUCUUGCCAGGCCCCAACACACACACACACACACACACACACACACACACACACACACACACACACCAGCUGAAAAUGUUACUAAGAAUUAAAAGCAAGUCAGUACUAUGAAAGCAUCAAAUCCGAAGUUGAAAGAGGGGGACUCAGAGAAAGAGAGGGGGUGGGGUAGCGGAGUGGGAAUGAAACACAAUUCGGUCCUUUAGGUUGAGAAGGAAAGAGGCGUCAGUAGCCCCAUUUGGUCAGCUUGUCAAAUGUCAAAUUCAUUGGUCUUUCCUUUUUAACUACUCCCCCUCUCCCUGCCCCGCCCUAACAGUCAAGUUUGGUGAGGUUCCCAAGUGUGAUUAAUCUUUGGCAGAGGCCAGAAACAGGAGUAGGCUUCUUGGCUGCCCGUCCUGAUAAACAAUCUGUUCUUGGGAAGAGUAGGUGAAGGGGGCUGAGGGAGGUAAUCUGCGGGCACGGAGGUGGGGGUAGGAGUGAGAGGAGGGGGGACCAACGCGAGGCCCACCCUCCUGGAGGAAUGCAAGUGCCCCUCCUCCGGGACCAGUGGUUUAGGGGUGGGUCAGGUUUCCUGCCCUUAAGAAUGUAAGUAGACAGUGGUUCCUUUCUUGCUGCCAGUCCCCAAUGCCCAGGGCACGUCUCUGGGCCACCGAAGGCUCAAAGGAGGGGAGGAGAACGAAACCCGUGCGCCCCACCGUUUAGGACCAUCUGCAAAGCCGUGCUCUAGGCGCUACGACCCCAUCCCCCAGCGAGUGUGCGCAGAAUCUACUUGCGAUAAAGGGAAACCAAGGCAGUGUUAAAGAAAGCCGAGGUGGGGCAGCCGCUGUAGAACUUACUAUAAAGCAUAACGGGGAAAACCAGACUCUGGCCAAAACAAAAGGAGAGACUAUUUGGCUUGGCGGAGUCGGAAGUCGCUGAGAUCGAAACUCCGGAGGCAAGAAAGCUGGCUAUGAAUGUUGCAGCGGGAAUACUGUGUGAGCAACCAGGCAGAAAUCGGCAAUAUGUAAAAGUGGGAAGGGGGAGAGAGUGGGCGGAAAGGCAAAUCAGUGUCUAGAAGGCUUUGCACGGCUGGGAAAUGUCACCAAGGAGAGCGCAAUGGCACCGAAUAAAAGAUGAAUGAUAGGCUACCUUUUGGAAAACGAAUAUAAAAAUAAGAAGAAAGGUGAGAAGUCCGCCUCUUCGCUGAAAAGCAGAUCCAUUCCUCACCGAUUGCCUUCCAGCCCCAACAUACAGGCAGCUCGAUUUCCUUUGGACUUAAUUACAUGAAAAUGCUGAACAAAACUUGUAAUUACACCCUUAGUCCCUGCCACUCAGGCCCUGCACACUUCCUGCCUAGUUUUGUUUUAUAAAGAGGAGUCAUUGCCUCUUUCUUUCCAAAUUGGCCAAAACAACAACAAAAAAAGUAAAGGCACCAAAUAAAUCUCUAACAGCUUUGAGUCUUCAUAGUCAUUCCCCAACACACACACACACACACACACACACACACACACACACACACCAGGAAUCCGGGAGGGGAAAUCAUCUCCCUAGGAGAGCCCAGAAGGAAGGACCCAACUAUGCUAUUGUCUUGCUCUGACUCCAGGGCUGAGAGACAGUUACUGCUUAGAUUGUCACUCCAACACAGAGGUGCUAGGCUGGUCACCCAGAGGAAACCUUCCAAGGACCAGACAAAGAGUGUGGACAGGGUGUAUGUAGCAUUAGGCUUGGCUUUCCUCUUGCUCCUGGAAGGGUUCAGUGCUGCAAGAGAUCGGGGUCAGGACUGGCCUCUUUUACAGCCCUGCAUCACAGAAGGGAUCUUACAAGGAGGCUCUGCAGGAAGAGUGUGAUUUAAGAUGGACAUUUGACAGGUGAGAAGCCAGAGCUCAAGAGAAGAAACAGAUUGCCUCGGAGUCAGGCAUGCUGCUGCAGGGAGUCUUGAACAAGCACUGCUGCCUCUUAAGGCUUUGGGGGCUAACUGCAUCAGGAAACUAGGACACCUAGGAGAAAAUGGAAGCGGUUCCAUUCUGGGCUGGACCCAUUCUGGCUUAUUUUCA
rnacentral:lncRNA from 1 species